rnacentral:rRNA from 1 species
AACGCACCUUGCGCUCCUUGGUAUUCCUUGGAGCAUGCCUGUUUGAGUAUCAUGAGCAAAUCUCAAAGUCGAUCCUUUUGAUAAUUCAAUUGGUUUUGCUUUGGACUUGGAGGUCUUGCAGAUUUCACCGUCUGCUCCUCUUAAAUGCAUUAGCUGGAUCUCAGUAUUAUGCUUGGUUCCACUCGGCGUGAUAAGUAUCACUCGCUGAGGACACUGAUAAAAAGGUGGCCAGGAAAAUAUUGAUUGAACCGCUUCUAACGGUCUAUUAACUUAGACAAUUACCCUUAAGUUUGAUCUCAAAUCAGGUAGGACUACCCGCUGAACUUA